GAUUUGGGCUUCAAACCCAGCGCGGCCUGGCA
rnacentral:tRNA from 13 species